AGCUUGCUUUCUCGAGCGAGUGGCGAACGGGUGAGUAACGCGUGAGGAACCUGCCUCAAAGAGGGGGACAACAGUUGGAAACGACUGCUAAUACCGCAUGACACUUUUGGGAGACAUCUCCUGGAAGUCAAAGCUUUAUGUGCUGAAAGAUGGCCUCGCGUCUGAUUAGCUGGUUGGUGAGGUAACGGCUCACCAAGGCGACGAUCGGUAGCCGGACUGAGAGGUUGAACGGCCACAUUGGGACUGAGACACGGCCCAGACUCC
rnacentral:rRNA from 1 species